AGAGUUUGAUCCUGGCUCAGGACGAACGCUGGCGGCGUGCCUAACACAUGCAAGUGGAGCGACGAACCAGGCUUCGGCCUGGGGCAAAGCCGCGAACGGGUGAGUAACACGUGGGCAACCUGCCCCCUAGCUUGGAAUAACUUCGGGAAACCGAAGCUAAUACCAAAUAAUCUUUUUCCUAGCAUUGGGAGGAAGUAAAA
rnacentral:rRNA from 1 species